rnacentral:lncRNA from 1 species
GAUGGAGGGCGGGGGAGAGAGAGAGAGAUAAAACACAGUGGGACAUCAGGGCCAGGCCCAGAAGCCAGAAACUAGUCAAUUAGGUCACCUUCUCAUUUGCUGUGGUUAACACGAUGAAUUAAAUUACUGAUGUCCAGAGGUGGGGGCAGCCCGGGAUCUGCAUAGGUGUCAAGGAAGGAGAGCCAACACCUGAACUCUGGCACCUGUCAUCUGGGGGCACACAGACCACCGGAAAUGGCUAGCCAGGUAUCACUUUCUCCAGUGACAGGAACGCACAAUAAUAAAACCCACUAAUUCAACUUCCACUGCGUUCUUCGGACUUGAGGACCUCAGAAAACUUCAAGUGUUUAAAAAAAUAAAAUAACUGAUCAAAAUAGGAAAACCUUCAUCUCAGAAGAGGUCCAGACUGGAGACGCAAGAGCAGCCUGACUUCUGCAACACUGGGCCUACCUGAGCAGGUUCCCUGGGUGUCUUCCCAUUGAAUUCCCUCACUCACAAAAUGCUGACACGAAUAUCAAAAGAAGUUCCUUAUGGGGGAGUGACCACUUGAGUGACCACCCAAGGCUGUCAGAUAGUGGUCACUCUGUGAAUAAACUCUGUGUCUUGGGGCACUGUUUCCCAGGGCGGUAAAAUUGUAAGGGUAAAAGAAAUUGAAGUUAAAGCGUAAAAAUUAAAGGGUAAAAGACCGGGUGUUGUAAAAGUUUCUAAGCUGCAAGGUCUGAGUUAAAUUUCUGUAGCUGUUAAGACAAUGCUUAGAACCGCCCAGUAAACAUUUCCCCUGAUUGUCUGGUUGUUUAAUAACUGAAGGGGUCUGUGUGGUUGCACGCAGGCAUUGCAGGGCCUGGACCAAUCAGUUUAAAUGUAACCCCCUCCUUAGGAAUGACCUAUCACUCCAGCUUGACCUGUUCCCGCCAAUGAAUG